CCUACGGGAGGCAGCAGUGGGGGAUAUUGCACAAUGGGGGGAACCCUGAUGCAGCGACGCCGCGUGGGCGAUGGAGUACUUCGGUAUGUAAAGCCCUAUCAGCAGGGAAGAAAAUGACGGUACCUGACUAAGAAGCCCCGGCUAAAUACGUGCCAGCAGCCGCGGUAAUACGUGUGGGGCAAGCGUUAUCCGGAUUUACUGGGUGUAAAGGGAGCGUAGACGGUGAUGCAAGUCAGAAGUGAAAGCCCGCGGCUCAACUGCGGGACUGCUUUUGAAACUGUAUGACUGGAGUGCAGGAGAGGUAA
rnacentral:rRNA from 1 species